GAUGAACGCUGGCGGUAUGCUUAACACAUGCAAGUCGUACGAAGAUCUUUGAUCUUAGUGGCGGACGGGUGAGUAACACGUGAGAAUCUGCCCUUAGGAAGAGGAUAACAGCUGGAAACGGUUGCUAAUACUCUAUACGCCGAGAGGUAAAAGGAUUUAUCCACCUUAGGGAAGAGCUCGCGUCUGAUUAGCUUGUUGGUAAGGUAAUGGCUUACCAAGGCGACGAUCAGUAGCUGGUUUGAGAGGACGACCAGCCACACUGGGACUGAGACACGGCCCAGACUCCUACGGGAGGCAGCAGUGGGGAAUUUUCCGCAAUGGGCGAAAGCCUGACGGAGCAAUACCGCGUGAGGGAUGAAAGCCUGUGGGUUGUAAACCUCUUUUCUCAAGGAAGAAGUUCUGACGGUACUUGAGGAAUAAGCAUCGGCUAACUCUGUGCCAGCAGCCGCGGU
rnacentral:rRNA from 1 species